rnacentral:rRNA from 1 species
UGAGGAAUAUUGGGCAAUGGACGCAAGUCUGACCCAGCCAUGCCGCGUGAGUGAAGAAGGUUUUCGGAUUGUAAAGCUCUUUCGGAUGUGACGAUGAUGACGGUAACAUCUAAAGAAGCCCCGGCAAACUUCGUGCCAGCAGCCGCGGUAAUACGAAGGGGGCGAGCGUUGUUCGGAAUUACUGGGCGUAAAGGGAGCGUAGGUGGACUUUUAAGUGAGAUGUGAAAUACUCGGGCUCAACCUGAGAACUGCAUUUCAAACUGGAAGUCUAGAGUGCAGGAGAGGAAAGUGGAAUUCCUAGUGUAGCGGUGAAAUGCGUAGAUAUUAGGAAGAACACCAGUGGCGAAGGCGGCUUUCUGGACGAUAACUGACGCUGAGGCGCGAAAGCGUGGGGAGCAAACA